UUUUAUUUUGGUCUGGUGUCAUGACAUCAUAAGGCUGCACUGUACCGCUCUCCCCUGGUUCGGACUGUAAAAAAGGUUCAACAGAGGUUUGAGGUUUUUGAACGCUCGAGAAUUUAAGGCUGUAUUUUCAGAGGACUUUUAUUUUGUCUGGUGUUAUGACAUCAUAAGGCUGCGCCGCUCUCUGACUUCACAAAGACAUACAGGAACAACAAACAAUUGGUGAAACCUGAGAGAUCCAUGUGACGGUUUUCCAAGAUGGCAUUUAUUAAAGAGGAGACUGAAGACAUAAGAAUUUCAAAACCAUUCAGAGUGAAACAUGAA